GACGAACGCUGGCGGCGUGCCUAAUACAUGCAAGUAGAACGCAGUUGCGAACGGGUGAGUAACGCGUAGGUAACUGCCUCAUAGCGGGGGAUAACUAUUGGAAACGAUAGCUAAUACCGCAUACUGUGCGAUGGACCUGCGUUGUAUUUGGUAGGUGGUGAGGUAAAGGCUCACCAAGGCGACGAUACAUAGCCGACCUGAGAGGGUGCACGGCCACACUGGGACUGAGACACGGCCCAGACUCCUACGGGAGGCAGCAGUAGGGAAUCUUCGGCAAUGGACGGAAGUCUGACCGAGCAACGCGGCGUGAGUGAAGAAGGUUUUCGGAUCGUAAAGCUCUGUUGUUAGAGAAGCGGGAAGUAAAGAGAAAGGGACGGCUAACUACGUGCCAGCAGACGCGGUAAGAG
rnacentral:rRNA from 1 species